rnacentral:misc_RNA from 1 species
UAAUAAGUGUUUUAUGGCACUUUUAAAUCCAUAUCCACCUUGUCGUGCAAUGUCGGUCGAUCUUCUCCUAUGAGGAUCGACCAAACAUCAACCUUUAUCUUUUAACUCUUUGUCUGAAAAAUAUUAUGAAUAAACAAUUCAAAAUA